rnacentral:rRNA from 1 species
CCUACGGGAGGCAGCAGCUAGGAAUAUUGGGCAAUGGGCGAAAGCCUGACCCAGCAACACCGCGUGAAGGACGACGGCCUUCGGGUUGUAAACUUCUUUUCGAGGGAAUGAGAAAGGACAGUACCCUCGGAAUAAGGCCCGGCUAACUACGUGCCAGCAGCCGCGGUAAUACGUAGGGGCCAAGCGUUAUCCGGAUUUACUGGGCGUAAAGCGCAUGUAGGCGGUCGAUCAAGUCGGAUGUGAAAGCUCCUGGCUUAACUGGGAGAGGUCAUUCGAAACUAGUCGGCUGGAGGGUGGUAGAGGAGAGCGGAAUUCCAGGUGUAGCGGUGAAAUGCGUAGAUAUCUGGAGGAACACCAGUGGCGAAAGCGGCUCUCUGGACCAUUCCUGACGCUGAGAUGCGAAAGCCAGGGGAGAGAACGGGAUUAGAAACCCCGGUAUUCCUGGCCGUAAACGAUGUCAACUAGGCGUAGGAGGUUAUUAACCCCUUCUGUGCUGUAGCUAACGCGUUAAGUUGACCGCCUGGGGACUACGGCCGCAAGGCUAAAACUCAAAUGAAUUGACGG